rnacentral:rRNA from 1 species
GACGAACGCUGGCGGCGUGCCUAAUACAUGCAAGUAGAACGCACAGUUUAUUCCGUAGCUUGCUACACCAUAGACUGUGAGUUGCGAACGGGUGAGUAACGCGUAGGUAACCUGCCUGGUAGCGGGGGAUAACUAUUGGAAACGAUAGCUAAUACCGCAUAAUAUUAAUUAUUGCAUGAUAAUUAAUUGAAAGGUGCAAUUGCACCACUACCAGAUGGACCUGCGUUGUAUUAGCUAGUAGGUGAGGUAACGGCUCACCUAGGCGACGAUACAUAGCCGACCUGAGAGGGUGAUCGGCCACACUGGGACUGAGACACGGCCCAGACUCCUACGGGAGGCAGCAGUAGGGAAUCUUCGGCAAUGGACGAAAGUCUGACCGAGCAACGCCGCGUGAGUGAAGAAGGUUUUCGGAUCGUAAAGCUCUGUUGUAAGAGAAGAACGGGUGUGAGAGUGGAAAGUUCACACUGUGACGGUAUCUUACCAGAAAGGGACGGCUAACUACGUG